UACAGAGGGUGCAAGCGUUGUUCGGAAUUACUGGGCGUAAAGCGUGCGUAGUCGGUCUUGCGAGUCACGGGUGAAAUCCCAAGGCUUAACCUUGGAACUGCCUGUGAGACCUCAGUACUAGAGUGUGAGAGGGGAUAGUGGAAUACCCAGUGUAGCGGUGAAAUGCGUAGAGAUUGGGUGGAACACCGGUGGCGAAGGCGGCUAUCUGGCUCACAACUGACGAUCAGGCACGAAAGCGUGGGGAGCAAACAGG
rnacentral:rRNA from 1 species